AUGCUUAUUUACAGUUUUGGGAAAACUAGAGAUGGACUUGUUGGUUUUGUUGAUUCUGAUUUUGCUGGUGAUUUGGAUAAGAGAAGAUCGCUCACAGGUUAUGUUUUCACCAUUGGUGGUUGUGCUGUGAGUUGGAGAGCAACUUUGCAGUCUAUUGUGGCUUGUUCCACUACUGAUGCCGAGUAUAUGGCUAUUUCUGAGGCAUGCAAAGAAGCUAUCUGGUUGAGAGGUUUGUACACUGAGCUUUGUGGAGAUUCAUCUUGCCCUACCAUAUUUUCUGACAGUCAAAGUGCCAUAUAUCUUACAAAGAAUCCAAUGUAUCAUGAGAGGACAAAGCACAUUGAUGUUAGAUUUCAUUAUAUUCGAGAUGUUGUUGCUGAAGGCAAUUUGAAGGUAUGCAAGAUAAGUACUCAUGAUAAUCCUGCUGAUAUGAUGACAAAGCCAGUUCCGACCAAUAAGUUUGAGCUUUGCUCAGGCUUAGUUGGUAUUUCUCGCUAG
rnacentral:rRNA from 1 species